rnacentral:rRNA from 1 species
UACGAAGGGGGGCUAGCGUUGCUCGGAAUCACUGGGCGUAAAGCGCACGUAGGCGGCUUGUUAAGUCAGGGGUGAAAUCCUGGAGCUCAACUCCAGAACUGCCUUUGAUACUGGCGAGCUUGAGUUCGGGAGAGGUGAGUGGAACUGCGAGUGUAGAGGUGAAAUUCGUAGAUAUUCGCAAGAACACCAGUGGCGAAGGCGGCUCACUGGCCCGAUACUGACGCUGAGGUG